GAUCCUGGCUCGGGAUGAACGCUGGCGGCGUGCCUAACACAUGCAAGUCGAGCGAAGCACUUUGCUUAGAUUCUUCGGAUGAAGAGGAUUGUGACUGAGCGGCGGACGGGUGAGUAACGCGUGGGUAACCUGCCUCAUACAGGGGGAUAACAGUUAGAAAUGACUGCUAAUACCGCAUAAGACCACAGCACCGCAUGGUGCGGGGGUAAAAACUCCGGUGGUAUGAGAUGGACCCGCGU
rnacentral:rRNA from 1 species